GGCCCUGGGGUGUUACAUGUGAGGUUGCAAACCUCAAGAGGCGGAGUAGUGUCCGCCAGGGCUU
rnacentral:tRNA from 1 species